CCUACGGGAGGCUGCAGUGGGGAAUAUUGCACAAUGGGGGAAACCCUGAUGCAGCGACGCCGCGUGAGGGAGGAAGUCUUUCGGUAUGUAAAGCUCUAUCAGCAGGGAAGAAAAUGACGGUACCUGACUCAGAAGCCCCGGCGAACGACGUGCCAGCAGCCGCGGUACUACGUAGGGGGCAAGCGUGAUCCGGAUUUACUGGGUGUAAAGGGAGCGUAGACGGUUAAUCAAGUCAGAAGUGAAAGCCUAGGGCUCAACCUUGGGACUGCUUUUGAAACUGAGUAGCUAGAGUGCAGGCGAGGUAAGCGGAAUUCCUAGUGUAGCGGUGAAAUGCGUAGAUAUUAGGAGGAACACCAGUGGCGAAGGCGGCUUACUGGACUGUAACUGACGUUGAGGCUCGAAAGCGUGGGGAGCAAACAGGAUUAGAUACCCCAGUAGUC
rnacentral:rRNA from 1 species